GCCAGACUGGUGUAGCGGCUUGAGCAUUAGACUAUGACUCUGGAGACCAGGGUUCGAAUCUCGGUGCAGCCA